UAAAAGAAAAAGUGAAAGAAAAACAAAAGGGAAGUUAAUAGAAGUAUCUGGGAGCUCCUAUACUUAGUGUGUGAAAACAUGGUGUCGUGAGUAUGUGUCCCUCUCGUGAAGAUAUCUAGCUCAAGAUUAAAGAGACACUUGAUUUUAGCUAACUAGAAAGUAAAGUAGAGUGCUUUUGAUCUUUAAUCAGGAGUAAAUCAAGGUGAUACAAGAGAUCAACCAAGUUUUACUUAAAAGCUAACGGUGAUUAUAAGGUGAGACAAGUGGAGCCCGAAAAGAUCCAGGGAAGGGUAUAGCUUAGCACUAGCGGUGUUGCUAGUUGGAUGGGUAACGGGUAUCUCUUAUGCCUUUCUUUGAUACUAGUUACGCCCUUUUUGUGCAACUUAUAAAGUUGCAAAUUAAACCAGUUUGUAAACCAGCUUUUGAAACAUAUUAUGGUAACUAUAUAGGGUCAUAUUGUAAGUAAGUAAAUAUGUAGUUCUAUGUAGUUCUAUCCAUAUCAGUUUGUAAAAGGGUUUUUGCAAGCAGGUCCUAGUAAAGUAUGAAUAGUCGUUUUGAAACAAGUAAGAAAGGAGUGUUUGCAUUAGCUUGCAGCCUGGUCUUGGUCAAGCUUAAACUUCAUGUAUCUUGAACCUGGAUCGUCAUUUUGUAUGUAAAUAUGAUGUUGAAAGUA